rnacentral:lncRNA from 1 species
AAGUUUGGGCUGGAAACGGAGCAGGUCAAAACUCCUUUGCUGAUCUGAGUGGGAGCAGGUCGAGGAGGAGCCUCUACACUUUCAUUCUUGGUCAAGAAAGGGAGAUCCAAAAAGAAGGCGUGUGAGAUAAAAAUGGUGACUCACUCAAACCAACAAAUCUGGAGUCAGAAGUCAGGCAAACUCUCCUGUGGGGACACUCACAUGCCUUGAAAUGGUCUGGAGGAGGCGAGCAGGUGGGAGGGAAGAAGACAAAAGCAAAGUGUCUGUCUGAUCAAUCCCUGAAACACAGAAUGGCGGCUGCAUCGUUUUGCAGGUGCAGAGGAAAUGGGCUUGAAAUGAUGACCAAUGAUCAGGAACAUGACUGAAAUGAAGCCAGCAGCCUCACAACUCUCAGGACGACAGAAUCAUCCACACACCAAUAAAGUGUUCACGUUAUGAUAUUCA